rnacentral:lncRNA from 1 species
AGCCUGCCAGCAAUGCAUCAGUGCUGAUCCUCGGAAAUGGCAGUAGCUCUCAAAGUAAAUAAGUAGCCGCUUGGUAAUAAGUUGACUACAAUGGGUCCCUUCCAUCCUAGAAAUGGCAGAAAUUUAUUUUGACUAGAAUGGACACAUGGUUUACCUUUUCUGCCUGCAGGGCCUCAGCCAACGCCACUAUCUGAGGGCUUACUGAGUGUUUUACCCACUGACAUAGGUUCCCACGUAACAUCACAUCAGACCCAAGGGCCCGUUCAUUGCAAGGCGAAGGAGGCAUGACAAUGGCACGUGACCAUGGGAUCACUGGUCCUGUCACAUUCUGCACCACCCAGAAGAUACUGGCUUGAACGAAGAGAAGAAAUGGGCUGUUGAAGGCGUAGCUGAGAUGCCAGCUCAGAGACGAUGAUACCAAGUGCUGAACCUGAGAGCAGCCCCAGUACACUCCCUGCAUGGGAAUCUCCAUCUCAAAGUCAGCCUCCAGGGAGCCCGCCCUGAAACAGAUUCUGUCAUGGAACUCAACAGAGUAUCCUGGUGCGGAUAACCAGUGUUGGGAGUUAGAGCACGGACUCUCUCCACCUGCACGGUGCUGGAGCUCUGCACACCCCCUCUGCAGCCAUCCCUCGCCGCUGUCCCUUAGCUGACGCCCUUGCCCUCUGUGUGUCCUUCCUCAUGGCCUGCAGGUUUCAGAUCCCAAGCUACAGAUCAUGUCUUCUAGUCUGGGCUCUGGCAGAGAGUUCGGAAGCACUCUUAUUAUCUUAGCAGCAGCAUGUGUGGAAAUCAUUUCUCAUUACAGCGGAGGGCAGGCAUUGUGCAGAGGGUUAAGUGGGCCUGCUUGAAGUUGGUUGUUGUUAGCUCUCAUGUCUAUGCCUUGGUCCCUUUCCCCUCAGGACUUGGAGAGCAAGCUGUUUGAGUCUGAUGCAACCCCUGGGCUUUGACUAUCAUGCCAAAAGGCAGCAAAUAAGUGCCUUUUCUUCCCUUCAGAAUACAUGGACAAUCCAAAGCUCUAUUAGUCUAUUAUUCAGAAUGAAAAGUGUUUACAAUAUUCGUCCUCUUACUCCUCAGUAUGUGAGACUGUUCCUCGUAGCAGGUAAUUUCUUCCGAAUUCAAAAACUCCUCAUGGAAGCAUCUGUUUUUGUCAUCAAGGAGGGGGCUGUAUGUGGAAUUGCAAGGCCAAAGACAUCUCGGGUCAACUCUUCUCAGGACCAGAUCCAAGUCGCCAGUGAGAACACACAUUCAGGCAGCCUCCACCAGCGCCCUGCCUCAGGAGCGAGGCUCCCUGCUUCAUGUGGGCAAGAGCUGCCCUUGUUUUCCCAGCGGGCAGUUGGGGGUCUGGAGCCUAGGAAGCAAAGUGAAGCACACACUCCUGCUUCCUUCCUUCCCUGCAGUUGAGACGGGAGUCUUACUUUGUUGCCCAGGCUGGUCUCAAACUCCUGGCUUCAAGCAAUCCUUCCACUUUGGCCUUCCAAAGUGCUGGGAUUACAGGCAUGAGCCACCAUGCCCAGCCUCCUUCUCUUACUAGCUGAGAACUAAGAGAAGACACUCUGGAGACAGAGGAGGAAACAGUGACGAUGCCACAUGAUGAAUACAUAAUGGAGGGUGAAGACAAGGCUCCGUCAGGGGCACCAAGGAGGGAAACCCAGUUCUGUGGGGAAGGUAUGGGGCAGCUUCACAAGCCCAGUGUCUGCUCCCUUUGUGGGAGACGUGUUGUUUCAGCAUCCAUUCCCCCUUCUUUUAGGAAAAGUGCUUGAAUUUCCUUUUCAUGGAACCACCCACCUCCCUCUCAUCCAUGCAUUCUAUUCCCAGUAUCAGGGGUAGACAAGUGACUUCAGGCUUGGCCAAUUAGGGUUCUGACUCUUGGUCAAAUCAGAGUGAAUCCUGAGUCAUUUGUAAACUCCAAGGAAAGGGCUUGCUUUGUUUUCUGUUGAAUGCAGUGCUCUGAGAUAGCCGGAAAUGAAACUGCUCUCUUGCCACACUGAAGGCUAGAGAAGGGCCUGGCCAGGAAAUGAUGCCAGUGAUCAGGGGUGGAGCUGGAAGAGGGGGAGUGAGGAGGCCCAGACAUCUUGGGAGCCCCAAAUUCACCUCAGGAUUUAACUUCUCCGCUGCUCAGCCAAUAAAUUCCUUUCUUCCAUGACUAAUUUGAGUUGAGUUUUUAGUUUUUGCAACUAAAACAGCACUGACUAAUACACCCUUAGGUAAGAUUAGAGCAAGAAUUUCCAAUAUCUGUGUUCUUCAUCCUGAAAUUUGGUGAGGAUAUCUAAGGUUCUUUUGUCUUUUAAAAGAAUUCUGUUGCAAUGGAAAGUAUCAAUCCAUAUUUUUCCAUUUCUCCAAAAUGUUUUAGUGUAUAUCUAUGGGGCACAAACUUAAUCUCUGUAGGCCCUCUGCCAUAGUUGCUCUGUGCCACUUGAUAAGGGGCUGGUAUCUAGAAUAUAUAAAAACUCUUAAAACUCAGCCGGGCAUGGUGGCUCAUGCCUAUAAUCCCAGCUCUUUGGGAGGCCGAGGCAGGCGGAUCACCUGAGGUCAGGAGUUUGAGACCAGCCUGGCCAACACGGUGAAACUCUAUCUCUCUAAAAAUACAAAAAUUAGGCGGGCGUAGUGGCUCACUCAAGACUGAGGCAGAAGAACCACUUGAACCCAGGAGUUGGAGGUUUCAGUGAGCCCAGAUGGCUCCACGGCACUCCAUCCUGUGCAACAGAGUGGCACAGGAUGGCAAAAACAAACAAAAGCUCUUAAAACUCAACAAUAAAAGACAACCCACUUUAGAAAUGAGAAAAGGGCCAAGUGUGGUGGUAAUCCCAG